AUUAAACGCUGGCGGCAUGCCUUACACAUGCAAGUCGAACGGCAGCACGGGGCAACCUGGUGGCGAGUGGCGAACGGGUGAGUAAAGCAUCGGAACGUGCCCUGGAGUGGGGGAUAACGUAGCGAAAGUUACGCUAAUACCGCAUAUUCUGUGAGCAGGAAAGCAGGGGAUCGCAAGACCUUGCGCUGAUUGAGCGGCCGAUAUCAGAUUAGCUAGUUGGUGAGGUAAAGGCUCACCAAGGCGACGAUCUGUAGCGGGUCUGAGAGGAUGAUCCGCCACACUGGAACUGAGACACGGUCCAGACUCCUACGGGAGGCAGCAGUGGGGAAUUUUGGACAAUGGGGGCAACCCUGAUCCAGCCAUGCCGCGUGAGUGAAGAAGGCCUUCGGGUUGUAAAGCUCUUUCGGCCGGGAAAAAUACGACAUCAGUUAAUACCUAGGUGUGGAUGAUGGUACCGGAAUAAGAAGCACCGGCUAACUACGUGCCAGCACG
rnacentral:rRNA from 1 species